GUACUAUUGCGAGCCAGCUUCAUGCACAUGGCCUUGAAAUUACUUCUGGAUCAAGAGAACUCGGAGAAAAGUUUUGGGUUAGGAUGUUGUUAGAUACAACUUAUUUAUAUCAUGUGUGAAAUUGACCACCAGAUUUGAGUGGUCAUAACGUAUGAUAUGAAGCAACGUUUCACAGAGUAUGUUACAAUACUAGCUGGUUUAUUGGAUUGAUGUUAUGCAAUUCUGCAAACUAUUUAAGGUCAUACUCAUAUGGAUAUGAUUGAUUAAUGACUGCUAAAUUAAUUUUGGGUAAGACUAAUUUUUGAUGGAUUUUAAAUCUAUUGGUUUGCUCUGCAGGUGCCAAAGCCCUAUACUAAACCUCUAAAAGAGAAAUUCCAUUUCUAAUGACGAGUUCCAAGUGCAAGAGUAGAAAAGAUUUCAAGAUUUGGGGAAGUAAUCAGGAGGAUGCCUAUGAUUUAGUUCACCAAUAACCAAGUGAUUUAGUUACUUCUAUAUUGGAUUUAGUACAGACAAUCCCUAAACUCUUUUGAAUUAGUAUAUAGUAUUUGAUCUAACUACUUUGAACUAGUACUUAUUGUAAGGGAAUACUUUGAGUUAUUACUUUAAUUUAUAUAUAUAUAUAUUUCUUUUGUCCA